AUAAAGCUUUAAUUGUAACUACAAUUUAGUGUCAUCAUCAUUCUGCCAAGGAUCCCUAAAAGAACCUGUCUGUCCCCUUAGCAUAAGGUGACAGCUCAGA